ACUCCUACGGGAGGCAGCAGUGGGGAAUAUUGCACAAUGGGCGCAAGCCUGAUGCAGCCAUGCCGCGUGUAUGAAGAAGGCCUUCGGGUUGUAAAGUACUUUCAGCGGGGAGGAAGGCGAUAAGGUUAAUAACCUUGUCGAUUGACGUUACCCGCAGAAGAAGCACCGGCUAACUCCGUGCCAGCAGCCGCGGUAAUACGGAGGGUGCAAGCGUUAAUCGGAAUUACUGGGCGUAAAGCGCACGCAGGCGGUCUGUCAAGUCGGAUGUGAAAUCCCCGGGCUCAACCUGGGAACUGCAUUCGAAAAUGGCAGGCUAGAGUCUUGUAGAGGGGGGUAGAAUUCCAGGUGUAGCGGUGAAAUGCGUAGAGAUCUGGAGGAAUAACGGUGGCGGAGGCGGCCCCCUGGACAAAGACUGACGCUCAGGUGCGAAAGCGUGGGGAGCAAACAGGAUUAGAAACCCGGGUAGUCCCAUGAU
rnacentral:rRNA from 1 species